CAUGUUCUCUUUUCUGUUUUCUGUACCGCUUCUCAACAAAAGGUAAUGCUGGAAAACCAGAAGCCAGAAGCCAGGAUGGGAAUGAUCGUGAGAUAUAAGAAGGUCACACCCGAAGUACUCAUAAGCCAUAUAUAUCGGAUUACGUAUACGUACGGUAUGUAUAAAUGACAAAAUAAGUUGCUCAUACUGUGCUAAUACAAUGGACUAUUCUGCACGGAAAACGCACGCCUGUAUCUAAAAGUAGCAUAUCGCAGAUUGGUGGCAGUAUGUAGAGAGAUGGCUCUAUUUUUCUCAGCACGAGGAGCCAGCCGCAAGUCGGUAGACCGGGA
rnacentral:sRNA from 1 species